AGGGCAAUCUUCUGAUGACCUCACAUGAGACUGCGACCGCGCCUGUCCCUGUGUGUGCAUGUGCACGUGUGUGCAUAAGCGUGUGUGUGUGUAAGCAUGUGGAUGUAAGUGUGUGCAUGUGAGCAUGUGAGAGAGUGUGAGUGUGUGCAGGCAUUCUCGUGUGCAUGUGAGAGGGUAUGUGUGCACAUGUGCAACAGUGUGCAUUUGUGAGUGUGCACAUGUGAUGUGAGCACAGUUCAUUUGCGUGCAUGUGAGUGUGCAUUUGUGAGUGUGUGUAUGGGUGAAUAUGCAUUUGUGUGUAUGUGCAUUUGUGACUGUGUGCAUGUGUGAUAUGCAAGCAUGUGUGGAUUCAUUUGUGUGCACGUGUGUGCAUUUGUGUGUAUGUGUGUCAUUGGCAAGUAUGUGUAUGUGUAAGUGCGUUUGUGAAUGUGUGCACGUGUGAUAGGUGUGUGUGGGUUCACUUGUAUGU
rnacentral:lncRNA from 10 species